ACCACGCUGUGCUAGGGGCUGUACAAACAUGUAUAUAGACUAGGAGGUGGAAUAUUUAUUGUUCAAAACAUGGCAUUUUUCUUUCGUAGGAAAUUUUGACAUUCCAACAUUACGUUCCAUUCCAGCUAUGAACAAAAUGGCAAAAUAUCAAAACUGUUCAUGAAAUGAAAAAUCCUGAAAAGUUUCACAUCUGAAGCACUUAAAUGGAAAAGUUCAACACUUUUUAUUGAAACAAAAUGAUUCAACAUUUCAAAAUGACAUUCUUCCUUGCAGUUCUCCCAAUGGGGGUGGGGGGGAACAUAAAAAAUUCUGACAAAAAUCACAUUUUUUUUGAUCAGAGGAAUUUUUUUCGGUGAAAAUUUUCAACCAGAUUGAUUACAGUAGGAAAUACUUGUUAUAUGCAGGAACAAUCAUGAAAAGUAACUCCUAACGAACCAUUUACUUGUCUAAAAACAAACUACACACAAUAGCGUAAAUGGAGACCCUCAGUCCAUAUAGAAGUCCUCUGGUGUGGCUAAACACAGAUGAACCAAUUUCCCUUAAGGCAAGUUUAUUUGCUUGACUUGUACCUUGGUAAUAAAUUUCCUUCUGGUUGUAUCGCAAGAGGAGCUACGCAACUCCACUCCUUUCCUAGAGGACUGCCAGCCCUUCCAAGUCCUUCCCACACAAAAUCCUUCCACCACCUCUACUGUAAACUGGAGCAUGUCUUCACCUGAGGGCAGCCUCCAGAUAAACUCUGUCAUCAUGCCAAUGCUCAGAGAGACAAGCAGCUGCAGGAAUGCAGACAAAGGUGACCUGUGGGGCAGUAACCAUCUUGCCUGAGGAUUCAGGACAGCUUUCUCUCCAGGGGAGAAGGGGAUCUCCGGAUAGCUGUCUCAAGCACCCAAACCAGGAUGGAAUUGCUCUGCUCCGAAAAGCAGAGGCACCUCUCACACUAGUAACAACAGCGUGAUGCCAAUCUUGGGACAAGGCGUUUAUUAACGUAUAAUUAUGGACGUUUGAAGAAAGAGAUGAACUAAGCUAACAAGCAGUCAGUUAGAAGUCUGCUGUGGCACCUGCUCAGCUCCAAGUUGUUUGAUGCUCCAGUGCUACCCAGCACAAAACUGGAAGACAAAGGGCAGCUGACGAACUCCCAGCAGCCAUCUGUUGGGUUCCACUAGAUCAUUUAACAUCAGCAGAAGACACAUGAGCCAACAGAGUGUGAUAUAGUCAGGCAACAUCAAGGUGUGACGAAGUGGGAAUGUUCUUAAUGUUUUCUCUGAACACUGUGUGGGUGCCUCAGUUUCCCCUAUGCAUUUCUUAGGUAUCCAGGUGGGGGGAACAGGGGGUGUGAUUGUUGCAGAGCCCAAGAGGGCCCCUGUGAUACUGUCUGCACAGAGAAUGGCCGACACCCUGUCUCCUGGCAACUGAUGGCCUGGGCCCCUCCUCUACAAAGGUGCCAACUGAAGGUGUUGGAGCACAAAGAGCUCAGGUGACCUCUUGGCCCGGGAAAGGAACAAAGGCAGAGGAGGAGCUGGAGAGUUGCAGUUUGGAGCUGGUGGAGAAAAUGAAGGGGAGGCCAGACAGACCUCCUGGACUCCCCUAGCCCCCCCAGAUGGACCUGA